rnacentral:rRNA from 1 species
CGGAAAGCCUGACCCAGCAACGCCGCGUGAAGGAUGAAAUCCCUCGGGAUGUAAACUUCGCAAGAACAGGAAGAAUAAGUAAGAGUUAAUAUCUCUUACGAUGACGGUACUGUUUGUAAGCUCCGGCUAACUCCGUGCCAGCAGCCGCGGUAAUACGGGGGGAGCAAGCGUUGUUCGGAUUUACUGGGCGUAAAGGGCGCGUAGGCGGCCACCGCAAGUCGACUGUGAAAUCUCCGGGCUUAACCCGGAAAGGUCAGCCGAUACUGCGGGGCUAGAGUGCAGAAGGGGCAACUGGAAUUCUCGGUGUAGCGGUGAAAUGCGUAGAUAUCGAGAGGAACACCUGCGGCGAAGGCGGGUUGCUGGGCUGACACUGACGCUGAGGCGCGAAAGCUAGGGGAGCGAACGGGAUUAGAUACCCCGGUAGUCCUAGCCUUAAACGAUGAAUGCUUGGUGUCUGGGGUUUUAUAGUCCCCGGGUGCCGUCGCUAACGCUUUAAGCAUUCCGCCUGGGGAGUACGGUCGCAAGACUG